AGGCAGCAGUAAGGAAUAUUGGUCAAUGGAGGGAACUCUGAACCAGCCAUGCCGCGUGCAGGAUGACUGCCCUAUGGGUUGUAAACUGCUUUUGUCAGGGAAUAAACCUUUCCACGUGUGGGAAGCUGAAUGUACCUGAAGAAUAAGGAUCGGCUAACUCCGUGCCAGCAGCCGCGGUAA
rnacentral:rRNA from 1 species